UCUACGGGUGGCAGCAGUGGGGGAUAUUGCACAAUGGGGGGAACCCUGAUGCAGCGACGCCGCGUGGGUGAAGAAGCGCCUCGGCGCGUAAAGCCCUGUCAGCAGGGAAGAAAAUGACUGUACCUGAAGAAGAAGCCACGGCUAACUACGUGCCAGCAGCCGCGGUAAUACGUAGGGUGCAAGCGUUAUCCGGAUUUACUGGGUGUAAAGGGGGCGCAGGCGGCGAUGCAAGCCAGUAGUGAAAGCCCGGGGCCCAACCCCGGGACUGCUGUUGGAACUGGGGGGCUGGAGUGCAGGAGGGGCAGGCGGAAUUCGUGGUGUAGCGGUGAAAUGCGUAGAUAUCAGGAGGAACACCGGUGGCGAAGGCGGCCGGCUGGAGUGCAACUGACGUUGAGGCGCGAAAGCGUGGGGAGCAAACAGGAUUAGAUACCCCAGUAGUC
rnacentral:rRNA from 1 species